CACUCACACACACUCCAGACAAUAAUAGCUGAAGCCAACAGAAGCCCAGCUGACUUUGAGAUAUAUAGUAUCAUCCGACAGGGCAACUCAUUUUGUUGUUGUUGAAGCAGCAGUAGCCUGAAGUGCGAGAAGCGCAGAUGGAAUUGUUUCAGAAAAAGAAAGAGGGAGAAGAGAAGGGAAAAGAACAGCGCCAACAUCAGAAGAGGCCUUACCAUCCAUCAAAGCAUCUUCCAGCUUUUCAUCUCGCCCAGACUAUCUAUACCUGUAAUUAGGUUUGGGUGAGGGAAAAGAUGGAUUUGGUUUGCAGCACCAUGCAGAGAAAAACAAGACAUCAGGAAGUCCUUACCGCUGUUCUGGGACCAGCCCUUAAUGGUGUCUAAUUGACCUGGUCUGUCAUGUGGCCAUGGCUUCAUACGGUCGGGGGGCGAUUAUCUACAUGUGUCAUCCUGAAAGGAUUAGCAUUAGUAGUGUGUGUGUGUGUGUGUGUGUGUGUGUGUGUGUGUGUGUGUGUGUGUGUGUGUGUGUGUGUGCGGUUGUGGGUGAGGGGUGGCUGCAUGGGGUUGCUAUAAUUGCCUUCCAGAUGAGAUGUGAGUGAAUCAGGAAAACAUUAAUGAAUUAAGAUAGUAGCCUUCAACCUAAAGCUAACCCAGUGAUCCGGCUUCCAGAUUUCCAGCAUUGUAAUUUGUACAACAUAGAAAUAGGUGGACAAAUAGAAGAGGGCAAUCACAUUCUUUGCCUACUCAAAUGCAUGCAUGGGCUUAACAACACAUUAUCUGAAAGAGGAGGGUUAAAAUCUAUUAUCCAAGUGCUCUAUAAAAGAGAGGAGUGAAUCCAGCAUCUCUUUUAUUUACUUCCUGUCUCUGGUGCAGCUGUACUGCAGACACACACAUCGCUUCAGUGACCUUCACGAUGAUAUGAAACCGAAGGAUGAUGCCUCCGGUGUGUUUCUGGUGUGUCUCAUCUCCCAAGAUGGACAGCCGUGCAUUAUUGAUCACAAAAAACUUCAACAGUGCUAUGUACUGUGUCGCCUAUGGAAGUACAUUUGAGAGAACACAUUAUAGCAAUUCAGGUUUUUCUGCUAUAAAACGUGUGAUGAAAUGGUGUUAAUCGGUUGCGUCUGUUUGUUUGUUUGUUUGUUCGUUGUUAUCUCUCUUCCCCACGGUCUCUCUCCCGACCCCUUCUUGUUUGAAAACCCACAGGGAGGCUGGAUGGUAUAACUGGAGUGACAUCUCCCUUACCUCUCCUCUCUGUUCUGUUGUUCACAAGGCGACGGUCCCUUCCAUAACAACUCCCCCUCAUCUACAUUGAAAAAGAGGCCAUUUCCUUUCAGCUAGCUUGUGUUCCUCUACUGGCUAUGUUCAACAUGCAGUUAUAGUCUGAAGCUCAUUGCAAGCAUUUGAAAGUACGUUGAAAGAGCCCCAUCAAACCAAAAAAAGUUUGUAAUACCAGACUAUUUGUCAAAUAAAUCCACAUCUUUCUUCAAGAGAGAGCAAUGCAAUGCCCUUUUCAUGUAGUAUGAAACCUAUUUACCUAUUGAUAGAUGUGUCGUUUCGUCAAGCAGACCUUUAACAGCACAGAUAAGGGGACUCUAUACACCCUGCUAUGCAAGCUGGCAGACACUAUUUGAUAUCAGCCAAAUAAAGAAAUGAGA